UGACUGACGGUAAAUAUAUAAUGAUCAUACCGAUGUAUAUUCCUCUUGUUCAAAAUCAGGUGAAUACCAUGGAAAUAAUCCAGAGAUGUCAUAAUUGCUACACAAAGCAAUUCGUCAAAAGAGUGAAUGCAUAUUCUAUUUACCAACAGCACCUUGCAAAUCAUCGUGUGAAUGCUCUCCGUGAUCUUCUUGAGUGCCUUUACCAAUUGGACGAGUUGAAUCUGCAUCAUCCAUUGCUUAGCGUUUCUACACUGGAAGAAUGUCUCUUGGAGCUAUUUCAAGGAAAACACAUGAAGCAAAUGCAAUGAACAGGUUAGGAGGGAAGUCAGAUUUUGUAGAAGGUGGUGAGGUCAGUUUAUAUGGAUCCCAUUUGAUGGAGUCCUCUAAUUGAUGUCAUUGAUGGGUAUUCUCCAACACUUCCUCAUCUUAAGGGCCUUCAAAAUGGAGAUACUGCUAC